rnacentral:pre_miRNA from 1 species
GUGUAUUCUUGGGUGAAUAACACUACUAUUGACUGCUGUUAUUGCUUGAGAAUACACGU